GCAAGUCGAGCGCUCGUAGCAAUACGGGAGCGGCAGACGGGAGAGUAACACGUGGGAACGUACCCUUCGGUUCGGAAUAACCCAGGGAAACUUGGGCUAAUACCGGAUGCGUCCGUAAGGAGAAAGAUUUAUCGCCGAAGGAUCGGCCCGCGCCCGAUUAGCUAGUUGGUGAGGUAAUGGCUCACCAAGGCGACGAUCGGUAGCUGGUCUGAGAGGAUGAUCAGCCUCACUGGGACUGAGACACGGCCCAGACUCCUACGGGAGGCAGCAGUGGGGAAUAUUGGACAAUGGGCGCAAGCCUGAUCCAGCCAUGCCGCGUGGGUGAUGAAGGCCUUAGGGUUGUAAAGCCCUUUCGGCGGGGAAGAUAAUGACGGUACCCGCAGAAGAAGCCCCGGCUAACUUCGUGCCAGCAGCCGCGGUAAUACGAAGGGGGCUAGCGUUGCUCGGAAUCACUGGGCGUAAAGCGCACG
rnacentral:rRNA from 1 species